GACGAACGCUGGCGGCGUGCUUAACACAUGCAAGUCGAACGGAAAGGCCCGGCUUUUGUGGGUUGCUCGAUUGGCGAACGGGUGAGUAACACGUGAGUAACCUGCCCUUGACUUUGGGAUAACUUCAGGAAACUGGGGCUAAUACCGCGUAUGAUCUCCUGCUGCGUGGUGGGGGUUGGAAAGUUUCGGCUGUUGGGGAUGUACUCGCUGCUUAUCAGCUUGUUGGUGGGGUAGUGGCUUACCAAGGCUUUGACGGGUAGCCGGCCUGAGAGGGUUAACGGCCACAUGGGGACUGCGAGACGCACCAGAAGGCUACGGGCGGCAGCAGUGGGGAACCUGGCAGAACGGGCGGAAGCCUGAUGCAGAAACGCCGCGUGCGGGAUGACGGCUUUCGGGUUGUAAACCGAUUUCGACUGUGCUGAAGAGUGAGUGACGGUAAUGGGUAAAGAAGCAACGGCUAACUACGUG
rnacentral:rRNA from 1 species